ensembl:snoRNA SNORD116 Small nucleolar RNA SNORD116
GGAUCAGUGAUGACUUCCACACAUGCAUUCCUUGGAAAGCUAAACAAAAUGAGUGAAAACUUUAUACCAUCAUCCUCUUCAAACUGAGGUCU